rnacentral:lncRNA from 1 species
AGAAAAGCCCGACAAAGAAAGGGAGGGACUGAUGUCGCAGAUAUUUUUCGCAAGUUUGGAAGAAAGAAAAUCAAGAAAAAAAGCAGGAUGUGUGGGGUUCGCUUAGGAGACGAGGACUCCAAGUCCUUCAAGGAGUUUCUCUGUGGGAGUGCAUGAGUGACGAAUCUACGUUCUAUUUUUUGAGUUUUUAUUUGGGUCUUCUCUCCUUUUUAUGUUGCAUAUCUGCAGUUGGAACGUAAGGGGACUGAAUGAUCCCUCUAAAAGAAGAGCUGUCAAGUGUGUGGUGUCAAGGUUGAGAAAUGUUGUAUUAUGUUUGCAGGAGACUAAAGUCGGUGUUGUAUCUCUCACUUUUCUUCAUCA